rnacentral:rRNA from 1 species
AUGAACGCUAGCUACAGGCUUAACACAUGCAAGUCGAGGGGCAGCAUUUUAGUUUGCUUGCAAACUAAAGAUGGCGACCGGCGCACGGGUGAGUAACACGUAUCCAACCUGCCGAUAACUCGGGGAUAGCCUUUCGAAAGAAAGAUUAAUAUCCGAUAGUAUAUUAAAACCGCAUGGUUUUACUAUUAAAGAAUUUCGGUUAUCGAUGGGGAUGCGUUCCAUUAGUUUGUUGGCGGGGUAACGGCCCACCAAGACUACGAUGGAUAGGGGUUCUGAGAGGAAGGUCCCCCACAUUGGAACUGAGACACGGUCCAAACUCCUACGGGAGGCAGCAGUGAGGAAUAUUGGUCAAUGGACGAGAGUCUGAACCAGCCAAGUAGCGUGAAGGAUGACUGCCCUAUGGGUUGUAAACUUCUUUUAUAUGGGAAUAAAGUAUUCCACGUGUGGGAUUUUGUAUGUACCAUAUGAAUAAGGAUCGGCUAACUCCGUGCCAGCAGCCGCGGUAAUACGGAGGAUCCGAGCGUUAUCCGGAUUUAUUGGGUUUAAAGGGAGCGUAGGUGGAUUGUUAAGUCAGUUGUGAAAGUUUGCGGCUCAACCGUAAAAUUGCAGUUGAAACUGGCAGUCUUGAGUACAGUAGAGGUGGGCGGAAUUCGUGGUGUAGCGGUGAAAUGCUUAGAUAUCACGAAGAACUCCGAUUGCGAAGGCAGCUCACUAGACUGCAACUGACACUGAUGCUCGAAAGUGUGGGUAUCAAACAGGAUUAGAUACCCUGGUAGUCCACACAGUAAACGAUGAAUACUCGCUGUUUGCGAUAUACUGCAAGCGGCCAAGCGAAAGCGUUAAGUAUUCCACCUGGGGAGUACGCCGGCAACGGUGAAACUCAAAGGAAUUGACGGGGGCCCGCACAAGCGGAGGAACAUGUGGUUUAAUUCGAUGAUACGCGAGGAACCUUACCCGGGCUUGAAUUGCAACUGAAUGAUGUGGAGACAUGUCAGCCGCAAGGCAGUUGUGAAGGUGCUGCAUGGUUGUCGUCAGCUCGUGCCGUGAGGUGUCGGCUUAAGUGCCAUAACGAGCGCAACCCUUAUCUUUAGUUACUAACAGGUCAUGCUGAGGACUCUAGAGAGACUGCCGUCGUAAGAUGUGAGGAAGGUGGGGAUGACGUCAAAUCAGCACGGCCCUUACGUCCGGGGCUACACACGUGUUACAAUGGGGGGUACAGAAGGCAGCUACCUGGUGACAGGAUGCUAAUCCCAAAAACCUCUCUCAGUUCGGAUCGAAGUCUGCAACCCGACUUCGUGAAGCUGGAUUCGCUAGUAAUCGCGCAUCAGCCAUGGCGCGGUGAAUACGUUCCCGGGCCUUGUACACACCGCCCGUCAAGCCAUGAAAGCCGGGGGUACCUGAAGUACGUAACCGCAAGGAGCGUCCUAGGGUAAAACUGGUAAUUGGGGCU